ACUCACAAAAGGAUUCCUGAAUUUGGAAAAAGGCCUCAUUGAAGGGAGCUGGGGUGAGAAGGCAGGAGAGAUAAGUUAUCAAACAAUAAAGAGCAUAAUAUAUCACUUGACUUCACAAAUGUUAUUGACAUCACAUGAAUCAGAACAAUUCAAUUAAUUAAAAAUAAUCAAGAUCGCCAGCCUUGGGUGGGAUAAAUUAUGAUUGCAAUCUAUGCUUGUGGAGGCAUUACCCCCCCAUGCCCCCUCAUGACACAGAUACCAAGUUGCAGGCUGACACAUGGAGCACAGGUACAGAGGACUGGACCAAGUGUCCUUUCAGCACCUCCAACUCAGUGUCUCCCUGUCCUAGGACUCACCUCCAACUCAGUGUCUCCCUGUCCUAGGACUCACCUCCAACUCAGUGUCUCCCUGUCCUAGGACUCACCUCCAACUCAGUGUCUCCCUGUCCUAGGACUCACCUCCAACUCAGUGUCAACGCCCUGGCUGAAGUGCACGUUAUAUUGAAGUGCAAUGAUGUCUUUGGAUUUGCCCACAUUGAUGGUGAAACUGGGAGAGAAAGAGAGACACACAAGGGAUGGAUGAUGGAUUACCAUGGAUGAAGACAUCAAGAGAUUUAGCAGCAGCAUAAAGAGGUCUCGUAGAGUCAGAGGCAGCUGUGACUCACCUAUCUUCGGGGACACCCUUGAUAACCAGUUUCAUUGUUGAAUAAAAGGAGAGUGGAGUUGCAAAAUCUUUCCUUCAAGCAAGAAAUGGAACUGCGAGUCACCGGUGUCCCUGGAUCCCCUAAGCAUGGUUUCACAAUCAAUGUGGGUGAAUCUGAUUCCAACAUUGCGCUCCACGUCAACCCUCGCUUUCAAGGCUCUGGCCCAGGUGUCAUCGUCCUGAACGUCAUGAAGGAUGGGUUCUGAGGUGCUCAAGUGACAGAUGAAAGAAACUUUCCUUUCCGGCAGGGCGAGGGGUUUGAGGUGUGCAUCACCUUUGCCAAUGAGCAGUUUUACAUUAGCCUGCACGACGGCCACAUGCUGGAGUUCCCCAACCGCCUGAAACAGCCCCAGUACAGAAAAACCUGGUUUACAGCAGACAUCAUAGCAUAUAUCUCAAGUAAAGACCCACCAGGAGGUGCUAGAUAUACCCUUUCUGGCUCCUGAUUGGCUGCUCUGCUUCUGCUUCCUGGUGCCUUCCUACAGCUUUGCUACGAGUGCUACGAUCUCCCAGAGAUCAGUGCCUUUAAUCUUGUGCUUCUCUGCGACAUUUAGACCCUCUGGUGUCUGUCCAAACCCACUGCAUAUGAUAAUCAA